AUUGAACGCUGGCGGCAUGCUUUACACAUGCAAGUCGAACGGCAGCGCGGGCUUCGGCCUGGCGGCGAGUGGCGAACGGGUGAGUAAUACAUCGGAACGUGCCCAGUAGUGGGGGAUAGCUCGGCGAAAGCCGGAUUAAUACCGCAUACGACCUGAGGGUGAAAGCGGGGGAUCUUCGGACCUCGCGCUAUUGGAGCGGCCGAUGGCAGAUUAGCUAGUUGGUGGGGUAAAGGCUUACCAAGGCGACGAUCUGUAGCUGGUCUGAGAGGACGACCAGCCACACUGGGACUGAGACACGGCCCAGACUCCUACGGGAGGCAGCAGUGGGGAAUUUUGGACAAAGGGCGAAAGCCUGAUCCAGCAAUGCCGCGUGUGUGAUGAAGGCCUUCGGGUUGUAAAGCACUUUUGGCGGGAACGAAAAGGACUGUGCCAAUACCACGGUUCGAUGACGGUACCCGCAGAAUAAGCACCGGCUAACUACGUG
rnacentral:rRNA from 1 species